rnacentral:rRNA from 1 species
AUACGGAGGAUCCGAGCGUUAUCCGGAUUUAUUGGGUUUAAAGGGUGCGCAGGCGGCCAUUUAAGUCAGCGGUUAAAUCGUGGGGCUCAACCCCAUUCUGCCGUUGAUACUGGGUGGCUUGAUUGCGGUCGAGGUUGGCGGAAUUCGUUGUGUAGCGGUGAAAUGCAUAGAUAUGACGAAGAACACCGAUUGAGUAUGCAGCCGUCCAGAACGCAAAUGACGCUCAUGCGCGAAGGUGCGGAGAUCGAACAGGAUUAGAUACCCUGAUAAUCCGCACAGGAAACGAUGAAUACUUGUUUUCGGCGAUAUAAUGUCGGAGGCAAAGCGAAAGCGAUAAGUAUUCCCCCUGGGGAGUACGCCGGCAACGGUGAAACUCAAAUGAAUUGACUGGU